AACGCGAAGAACCUUACCAAGUCUUGACAUCCCCCUGACCGGCGUAGAGAUAUGCCUUUCCUUCGGGACAGGGGAGACAGGUGGUGCAUGGUUGUCGUCAGCUCGUGUCGUGAGAUGUUGGGUUAAGUCCCGCAACGAGCGCAACCCUCAUCUAUAGUAGCCAGCAUUUUGGAUGGGCACUCUAUAGAGACCGCCGGGGAUAACCCGGAGGAGGAUGGGGAUGACGUCAAAUCAUCAUGCCCCUUAUGGCCUGGGCUACACACGUGCUACAAUGGCACUAAACAAAGUGAAGCGAGACAGUGAUGUUAAGCAAAGCACAAAAACAGUGUCCCAGUUCGGAUUGUAGUCUGCAACUCGACUACAUGAAGCCGGAAUCGCUAGUAAUCGCAGAUCAGCAUGCUGCGGUGAAUACGUUCCCGGGUCUUGUACACACGC
rnacentral:rRNA from 1 species